rnacentral:rRNA from 1 species
GUAGGUGGCAAGCGUUGUCCGGGAAUUAUUGGGGCGUAAAGCGCGCGCAGGCGGUUCUUUAAGUCUGAUGUGAAAGCCCACGGGCUCAACCGUGGAGGGUCAUUGGAAACUGGAGAACUUGAGUACAGAAGAGGAAAGCGGAAUUCCACGUGUAGCGGUGAAAUGCGUAGAGAUGUGGAGGAACACCAGUGGCGAAGGCGGCUUUCUGGUCUGUAACUGACGCUGAGGCGCGAAAGCGUGGGGAGCAAACAGGAUUAGAUACCCUGGUAGUCCACGCCGUAAACGAUGAGUGCUAAGUGUUAUGGGGUUUCCGCCCCUUAGUGCUGCAGCUAACGCAUUAAGCACUCCGCCUGGGGAGUACGGCCGCAAAGGCUG